rnacentral:lncRNA from 1 species
GGUGGAGCGGAACGAGGACGACGUCGAGCCAGCCCGACGACGAGCUAACGUUCGGGGAACGUGACGAUUCCUAAUUGUCUAAUUCCCGGGCGCGCGAUGCGCGAAUUGAUUGGCAAUCCGAAAGGUACGCUUAUUAAACACAGGCGUUAGCUUUACUGCUAGAGAAAUACGCACGAUCCUCAGAUGUCUUCUGGAAUCAAAUUAUGCUGCAUCAUUGGAGAACGCAUCAUAGAAUAAACAAAGACGGUGAGAAGAACGGUUCGAGAAGGGUCGAACAGAUGACAGUUGGAGCCAAGAAAAGGGGAAA